GGUUAUCUGAUCAACAUUGUAGCACUUUUCCCUGAAGUGUUUUUUGGGGUGUUUUGUUUGUUUUGUUUUACUAACUUAGUGUGUAAAAUGUGUAAAGUCAAAACACGUUAGAUUCCACGUGAUCACCUGACCCACACUCAGGCCACGGCUGUUCCGAAGCUGAGAUUUCUUCUAGGAAAGAUCGAGAAGCAGUCGGCAGAUGCAUUGUCAAAUCGCACCAGUAAGAGUUCCUGGGUUUAGGGGAAGGAGUGAUCCCUGUGCUAGAGGGCUCUGAGAAGGUUUGACUGAGCCUGGGAGGCUAGCUCUUAAAAGCGGGGUGGCGUUAAGGAAAGUGUUUCCAGGAGUGAGAUAAGGGAGCGCAUAUUGUUCUCAGCAGAGGCUAUAUCUUAGAAUGCUCUUUAGACAUUCUCUGUACAGAAAGCUGCACUGUUCCCAUGCUGAAAAGUGCUGUGUCCCCUUCCUCUCCCUGCCCUCCUCUCUGCUCUUGCCCCUCUCACACAGCCUCUCUCUCCUGAAGCCAUCCCCCAGGUUCCACCUCAAUGCCAUUCAGAGAAGAAACAAGGGCUGAGCUGUUACCGAUGGGGCUACACUGAGCUUGUACACUAAGGUGCACAGAAGCAGAAAGAAGGGUGGUACAGGUGAACAGCUGAAAGAAGGCUCAGAUGGUAGAGAAUCCACCUGCCAUGCAGAAGACCCAGGUUCGGUCCCUGGGUUGGGAGGAUAUCUUGGAGAAGGGAAUGGCAACCACUCCAGUAUUCUUUCCUGGAAAAUCCCAUGGACAGAGGAGCUUGGCAGGCUACAUUCCAUGGGGUCUCUUAAGAGUCAGACACGACUGAGCAACUAACACUUUUCACAGAAGAGCAUCUUCUUCUCAAACUAUAAAAAGCCCUGGAGAACAGAAAGGCUUAAGGAGUGAAAUGGAGACAGAACCCAAGCCCAGCACACUGCUCAGCUCGGAGGAAGACUUGCUGGAUGGGGUGUCAUAGCUCCAGGCACUGUGAACCCGGGAACUGGUCUCUGCAUCAAGACGGCUUUUGGCUUUUG
ensembl:lncRNA